AACAUCAGUUAUAUAUCUCUAUUAAAACACCCCAUAUGCUUGACAUGUGAGGGUAAUUUGAUCAUUUCAGUCCAUCUGAUUAUAAAAAGAGUUAAAUACCUGAUAGGUUUCACCCCACCUCCUUCUUCUUCCCCAAACCACCACCACCAUUUCGUAAAGGAAGACAUUAGAUAUGUUGAUGUUCAACAUUAUGCUAAAGAACUCAAAAAUCAAUAUAAAUGACACACAGUCACAGACACACCUUGAGGUGGCUUCUUAUGGUGGUGGCCAUGGCGGCGUUGACCGAGCAGGUACCGCCGAUCAAAGAGCUGAAAGAUCCCAUUCAUGCAUCCCAAUUGCUUUUGCAACUCAUGUGUAUCUUCUCCUAAGGUCGUUAGGUACUUACUGGAGCUUGCACGGAGGACUGGUUGUUGUGGGAGAAGAACCAUUAUUGGGUUCUUAUGAAACUUCAUGAACUUUUAAACUUUUGAUUUGGGUUUUAGACAUUAUGCUUCCGCUGGCACUUAAAUUUGGUUUUGGAUAUUUGUUUUCGUAAACACUAAUCGUAUUGAUUGCGCUGGACUUUAUUUA